GGGUAGACGCCGGAUGAGCGGAUAUCAUUGAUGUUGAUAAAUAUGGAAUUUGUAUUCUUCUACCUU
rnacentral:tRNA from 1 species